rnacentral:rRNA from 1 species
GUCCUUUUGAUUUAAUUUAAGGUCUGACCUGCCCGUUGAUAUUUAAUUAUUGAAAGGCUGCGGUAUUUUAACUGUACGAAGGUAGCAUAAUCAUCUGUCUUUUAAUUGNAGGCUAGUAUGAAUGGUUUGAUGAAAAAUAUACUUUAUUUAUUUAAUUAUUUUGAAUUUAAUUUUUUAUUUAAAAAGAUAAAAUUUUUUUAUAGGACGAGAAGACCCUUUAGAAGUUUACUUAAUUUAUUAAUUUUAAUUUUUUGUUUAUGAAAUUUAUUUUUAGAAUGUUAAGUUUUGUUGGGGUGACAUUAAAAUUUUUUUAACUUUUAAUUAUUUUUUCAUUAAUUAAUGUUUUUAUGAUCUAGAAUUUUUGAUUAUAAGUUUAACUUACCUAAGGGAUAACAGCGUAAUUUAGUUGGAGAGUUCACAUUAAUAACUAAGUUUGCGACCUCGAUGUUGAAUUAAGAUAAGUUUUGGGGGUAAAAUUUCAUUUUCUUGGUCUGUUCGACCAUUAAAUUCUUACA